rnacentral:rRNA from 1 species
GAUGAACGCUGGCGGCGUGCCUAACACAUGCAAGUCGAACGAAGCACCUUACCUGAUUCUUCGGAUGAAAGUUUGGUGACUGAGUGGCGGACGGGUGAGUAACGCGUGGGUAACCUGCACUGUACAGGGGGAUAACAGCUGGAACCGGCUGCUAAUACCGCAUAAGCGCACGAGGAGACAUCUCCUUGUGUGAAAAACUCCGGUGGGACAGGAUGGGCCCGCGUCUGAUUAGCUGGUUGGCAGGGUACCGGCCUACCAAGGCAACGAUCAGUAGCCGGUCGGGGAGGAGGAACGGCCACAUUGGAACUGAGACACGGUCCAAACUCCUACGGGAGGCAGCAGUGGGGUAUAUUGCACGAUGGGGGAAACCCUGGUGCAGCAACGCCGCGUGAGUGAAGAAGUAUUUCGGUAUGUAAAGCUCUAUCAGCAGGGAAGAUAAUGACGGUACCUGACUAAGAAGCUCCGGCUAAAUACGUG